UAAAUAGUAGAUUUGUGUUGAACAAUUGUAUUGGUAAGUUAUAAAGAAGCCCACCGAAGGCCCAAACAUAACCACUUACAAGUUACAAACACACAUUUACAGCUUUACAGAGGUUUCUGCUGGGAACAGGUAAAACUUAACAAAGAGAAUGCUCUCAGUUUCCAUCAGUGGAAGAUUGUUUCAAACUACCACCAAGUAAAGACAUCAUCAUCCCACCACCAUGAACUCUCUCCUCCGGAAUCAUAAAAUCAAUCACGUUUGCAUCUCCUUCAUGUGAAUCACUUAGAGACCUCAUUGAUGAAGGUACAAGAACCUGCAUAGGUAUCAUCAUCUUCUGCCUUUUCUCCAACUCUAUGGCGCUAACUUCACACUGAGAAUGAUCAGAACUAGAGCCAACAACAAGACCACUGAACAGCCCCGGUCCAAUCAAACCACUCUUGCUUCCACCAUCUUCUCCUUUCUCCUUAACACUAUUAUGCUUAGCACACAAACCACUCUUCCCUCUAGCAAACUUCUCACACUCCCCACCUCCCCAACAACACCUCUUCCCACCACCAUGAGCUUUGCACAACUCACCACUCCCUUGAGCACUCUUCCCACACUCACCAACCCUACACCGUUUCGUUUUGUUUUGUACCAUUGAAAGUGUUGCAGAUCCAGCUCCAGCUUUUGCCUCCACAACUUCAGUUCCACCGUUUUGAAUCCUGUUUGUGAGGUACUCAAUCUCUGAAGGUGUGAAGCUGCUUGGAGGUUUAACCUGAGGCCAUAAAAAACAUCAAUUAGCAGAGAAACUGAUGUAAUGUAACGAAAAUGACUUUCCUGUUCUAUUGAUAUGAUACCUGUGACAACAGUGGCAAUAUUGUGACUCCAGCAUGUCCUCCAACCACUGGUACAUCGACUUCUCUUGGAUCAAGGCCAAGAACUUCAGCCUGCACAAGAUUGGAUCAAAUCAGUGCCUUUAAUAGCAUGUUCAAAUGGAUCAGUCGAACAUGCUCAAAUCUAAAAAUUAAAAAUUCAAAAAAUUCAAAAAUAACAUAUUACAUUAUGGUCUAACAUUUUAAAUUUUUAUAUAUACUGCUAAAUUUAGAGAUCAUAAGCUGGAAAAAAACAUCAACCAUAUAUAGAUAGAUCUAUUAACCUUUAAAAUUAUUUCACUACAUGUUAAAAAAAAUUGAAACAUGGCCUAUAAAUAAUUUAAGACUCUUGAGUGAUGAAUCAUUAAGACAUUAUUACCACAAAUGUGUUGGCACGAGCAACAUCAAGUGUAGUAACUCCAAGGAGUUUCUUAGGAUCAUAAGUUCCAGCUUUCUUGAAAACCUCAGCAGCAAUAGCGACAGUAGAGUUCACAGGGUUGCUAAUCAAGUUAACUAUAGCAUUAGGACAGCAUUUCGCUACUCCUUCACAUAGUGUCUUAACAAUCCCAGCAUUGAUUUUAAAGAGAUCAUCACGUGUCAUCCCUGGUUUCCUCGGCACACCAGCUGGUAUGAUCACAAGAUCCAUACCGGUUAGGGCGUCCUCGAGUUGCUUGGCUCCCAAGAAUCCUCUAACCUAAAAAAACAAUCAAGAAUUAGUCAUUACUCAAGACAUUAGCAAGAAGUCAAAGAUGAGAGGUACGUACAACAGCUCCAGUGUCCAUAUGGCUAACAUCAGCAGUGACUCCAGGAGCAUUGACAACAUCGUAGAGAUGAAGUAAAGAGACGAGAGGGUUCAUCUUCAUUAACAAGGAUAGAGACUGUCCUAUUCCACCUGCCGCUCCAAGAAUAGCUACUUUGAAUCCUGGAUUCCCUCCUUUCGCUCUGCAGUUUUCUCGUCCCAUUACAGAGUUCUUGGCCUCCAUCUAAUGAUUAUCAGACCAGGAAGACAAAACCACUAAGUUUUUGUUUUGAUGAACCUUAAUGCUAACAUACAAACCAUCAAAAGAAGAUAACUUGAGUUAGAAGCAGAGGGAAAGAAUAAAAACCUGAGGAGUGAAAGAAGGUUGAAGAUGAGCUGAUAUCAUAGCAAUCCUCUUGUUGGCAUCUCCACGAAACUCCAUUCUUGUCUUCACUUUGUUUGCUCUCGUUGGUAGAGAGUUUUGAUUUGUAUGUCAGAGAAGUGAGAUAACUUUAAAACAUGGGGACUAUAUUGAAAGAAUAUGACAUAAGUAUUUGUCUUUUAUUUGUUGGAGCCAUUCCUUAUCACUUUAUCUUCUUUAUGUUGCUCUCCUCUCUUGAUAGUUGUUGUGGCUCUCAAAAUUUCCAUAAAACAAAUUUCAAAUGAAGCUAUAAAAAUAGUAGAUUUGGGUUGAAUAAUUGUAUUGGUGGUUAUAAAGAAGCCCACAAAGGCCCAAAUUAAGCUGGGGAUUUAGUUGACAACACAAAAGAGCAACCUAACCUAACCAGUUACUAACAAACACAAAACACAAUAAACACUGUUGAACUUGAACACAUUUACAGCUUUACAGAAGUUUGUAAAUUUCAAAUGAAGCUAUAAAUAGUAGAUUUGUGUUGAACAAUUGUAUUGGUAAGUUAUAAAGAAGCCCACCGAAGGCCCAAACAUAACCACUUACAAGUUACAAACACACAUUUACAGCUUUACAGAGGUUUCUGCUGGGAACAGGUAAAACUUAACAAAGAGAAUGCUCUCAGUUUCCAUCAGUGGAAGAUUGUUUCAAACUACCACCAAGUAAAGACAUCAUCAUCCCACCACCAUGAACUCUCUCCUCCGGAAUCAUAAAAUCAAUCACGUUUGCAUCUCCUUCAUGUGAAUCACUUAGAGACCUCAUUGAUGAAGGUACAAGAACCUGCAUAGGUAUCA
rnacentral:lncRNA from 1 species